rnacentral:hammerhead_ribozyme from 1 species
AUCCGGCUGACGAGUCCUAAAUAGAACGAAAUGCGCAUCCUGGAU